rnacentral:rRNA from 1 species
AUACGGAGGAUCCGAGCGUUAUCCGGAUUUAUUGGGUUUAAAGGGUGCGCAGGCGGCCAUUUAAGUCAGCGGUUAAAUCGUGGGGCUCAACCCCAUUCUGCCGUUGAUACUGGGUGGCUUGAUUGCGGUCGAGGUUGGCGGAAUUCGUUGUGUAGCGGUGAAAUGCAUAGAUAUGACGAAGAACACCGAUUGCGUAGGCAGCUGACCAGACCGCAAAUGACGCUCAUGCACGAAAGUGCGGGGAUCGAACAGGAUUAGAUACCCUGGUAGUCCGCACAGUAAACGAUGAAUACUUGUUUUCGGCGAUAUAAUGUCGGAGGCAAAGCGAAAGCGAUAAGCAUUCCACCUGGGGAGUACGCCGGCAACGGUGAAACUCAAAUGAAUUGACGGGG